rnacentral:rRNA from 1 species
UACGGAGGGUGCAAGCGUUAUCCGGAUUCACUGGGUUUAAAGGGUGCGUAGGUGGGCAGGUAAGUCAGUGGUGAAAUCUCCGGGCUUAACUCGGAAACUGCCAUUGAUACUAUCUUUCUUGAAUACCGUGGAGGUCAGCGGAAUAUGUCAUGUAGCGGUGAAAUGCUUAGAUAUGACAUAGAACACCAAUUGCGAAGGCAGCUCACUACGCGAAUAUUGACACUGAGGCACGAAAGCGUGGGGAUCAAACAGG